rnacentral:rRNA from 1 species
AUUGAACGCUGGCGGCAGGCCUAACACAUGCAAGUCGAACGGCAGCACGGAGCUUGCUCCCGCAUUCGGGGGCGGAGGGUCGGGUAAUGCCUAGAAAUAUGGCAGGCAGCUUGGGAUAGGGUGCUAAAACGGGCGAAAAUACUCUAAACCUCCAUACGGCGAACGUGGGUGAGCAUGGGAUCUCUCGCCUUCACGUGAGCGUAUGUGGCAUUAGCUAGUUGGCGGGGUAAAGGGUUACCAAGGCGACGAUCCGACACUGGUCUGAGAGGAUGAUCAGUCACACGGGAACUGAGACACGGUCCAGACUCCUACGGGAGGCAGCAGUGGGGAAUAUUGGACAAUGGGCGAAAGCCUGAUCCAGCCAUACCGCGUGUGUGAAGAAGGACUUCGGAUUGUAAAGCCAUUUAGGUGGGAAAGAAGGGCAGCAGGUUAAUACCCCGCUGUUUUGACGGUACCAAAAGAAUAAGCACCGGCUAACUUCGUG